GAUGAACGCUGGCGGCGUGCCUAGUACAUGCAAGUCGAGCGAACAGACGAGGAGCUUGCUCCUCUGACGUUAGCGGCGGACGGGUGAGUAACACGUGGAUAACCUACCUAUAAGACUGGGAUAACUUCGGGAAACCGGAGCUAAUACCGGAUAAUAUAUUGAACCGCAUGGUUCAAUAGUGAAAGACGGUUUUGCUGUCACUUAUAGAUGGAUCCGCGCCGCAUUAGCUAGUUGGUAAGGUAACGGCUUACCAAGGCAACGAUGCGUAGCCGACCUGAGGGGGGGAUCGGCCACACUGGAACUGAGACACGGUCCAGACUCCUACGGGAGGCAGCAGUAGGGAAUCUUCCGCAAUGGGCGAAAGCCUGACGGAGCAACGCCGCGUGAGUGAUGAAGGUCUGCGGAUCGUAAAACUCUGUUAUUAGGGAAGAACAAAUGUGUAAGUAACUAUGCACGUCUUGACGGUACCUAAUCAGAAAGCCACGGCUAACUACGU
rnacentral:rRNA from 1 species